rnacentral:rRNA from 1 species
AAUACCGGAGAAUGUUAUCACGGGAGACACACGGCGGGUGCUAACGUCCGUCGUGAAGAGGGAAACAACCCAGACCGCCAGCUAAGGUCCCAAAGUCAUGGUUAAGUGGGAAACGAUGUGGGAAGGCCCAGACAGCCAGGAUGUUGGCUUAGAAGCAGCCAUCAUUUAAAGAAAGCGUAAUAGCUCACUGGUCGAGUCGGCCUGCGCGGAAGAUGUAACGGGGCUAAACCAUGCACCGAAGCUGCGGCAGCGACGCUUAUGCGUUGUUGGGUAGGGGAGCGUUCUGUAAGCCUGCGAAGGUGUGCUGUGAGGCAUGCUGGA